UACGUAGGGUGCGAGCGUUGUCCGGAAUUAUUGGGCGUAAAGAGCUUGUAGGCGGUUUGUCGCGUCUGCUGUGAAAAUCCGGGCUCAACCCGGACUUGCAGUGGGUACGGGCAGGCUAGAGUGUGGUAGGGGAGACUGGAAUUCCUGGUGUAGCGGUGAAAUGCGCAGAUAUCAGGAGGAACACCGAUGGCGAAGGCAGGUCUCUGGGCCACUACUGACGCUGAGAAGCGAAAGCAUGGGGAGCGAACAGG
rnacentral:rRNA from 1 species